rnacentral:rRNA from 1 species
AAACUUCGCAAUGGGGGCAACCCCGACGAGGGAAUUCCAAGUGCUAGCACUUUGUGUUAGCUGUUCUUCUGUCUAAAAAACAGGAGGAGUAAGGGGCGGGUAAGACGGGUGCCAGCCGCCGCGGUAAUACCCGCGCCCCAAGUGGUGGUCGAUAUUAUUGAGCCUAAAACGUCCGUAGCCGGUCUUCUAAAUCCUUGGGUAAAUCGGGCAGCUUAACUGUCCGAAGUCCGGGGAGACUGGGAGACUUGGGACCGGGAGAGGUCAGAGGUACUUCUGGGGUAGGGGUAAAAUCCUGUAAUCCUGGAAGGACCACCGGUGGCGAAGGCGUCUGACUAGAACGGAUCCGACGGUGAGGGACGAAGCCCUGGGGCGCAAACGGG